CGGAAGCCCUGCAGGCUUCCUGCGCUAGGCUGGUUUAUUAUGAGGCAUGUAGAGCUGGGACCCCUUUCAGUACUAAGCUCAGCUAGCCCUAGACAAAAGUUAUUGUGGUUACUUUUUUAUACUAUACACUGGGGUAAAAAAUCCCUUGAAAUUCCCUGGCAGAAGGAAACGGUGUUACUGAGGAGUAAAAGUCAAAUGACUUCCCACCUGUCCAAAGAAGAGGGGAAAGGUAGUCAGUGACAAAGAAAAAUCACUUCUCUGUGUUAGAACAGAACUAAGGUCUUAUUUUGCAUUUUCUGGAAGUAUUUCUUUGCACCUGUUCUAAAAGUCCGUGUGACUCUGCCUCCAUUGAAAUCGUUUUGCUGGAACUCUUAGCAGUUAGGUGUGGAAGUGAACUAGGUAGAAAGGCAUUCAGAAGAAGGGUGAUGUGUUUCCAUUAUGCAGAGCAUAUGAAUUUGUUCUAAUAUAUUGAAGGAAAUCUGGAAUGGAAAUGGAAGGCUACAGGUCCAAACUAGAACUAAGAACUGGAGGCUUGAUAACAUUCUAACUUGGUAUAGUUGUGCAGAUGUUUUUGCUGAAGGGGGCAUUUAAACUAGCAUAUAAGGACAGUAAGGCAAAAUACACAAAAAGGACAUAUUUGGGAAUAAUGUUCAGUUAGAAAAACUAUUCAAAGCAAAUGUUUUUGACAUUUUUAAUGGUUAAAGGUAUUUCAUAGUAUUUGUAUUAUUUUGUAUGAAAAGUAUAUGAAAGUCCAUUUUCAACAUCCAUAAAUAAAGUGUUAUUGGAACACACACACACCACACACACACACGCGCGCAAACUAUUCAGGCUUGAUCUCCACACACCUGCCUGUAAUGUGGGCAUACCUUUUAAGAUGGGAUGGUUGAGCAGUGGUUCUUGAUUCUUAGGGAUCAUGACCCCUUUAAGACUUUGGUGAAAGCUGUGGAUCCUCUCUCCAGAACAGUACACAUUCACACCUAAUAACACUCAUUUUUGCACAUGAUUUCAAAGACGUUGGGAUCUUCUGAAAUGCAAGCAUGGGCAUCCUUUAUGCACCAGUCCCAGGUCUUUAAGCUUCCAAAAACAUCAUUUUCUUUGUUGUUGGAUACCUUUCCUCUCCCGUGUUUUCUCUCCUUCCUGCCAAACAAGUCAGAGGUUGUCGUUAGGUUUGGAUUUCAAAAUUGUAGUUUCUUUUUGUCAUCUAAACUCUAACACUCCCAAGAGUUUGGUUUAUAUCUCCAAGCACUUAGAAUAAGCACCAGACCAGAGGGAAGGAUUUAAGCAAUACCUCUGUUGAUGCCUGGUGUGAAUAAGUGGUUAGCUAAUGUAUUUUCCAAAAAGUUUUCAUCAGUGAAUAUAGUACUAGACAGUACUACACCUUUACAUUCAGAGAAUUAUAUGGCUGCUGGAGUACAUGUUGUGAAAUUAGCCAUAACUAAAUAUUUAUAAAGGGGAAUAAGAUGCUAACCUAAGAUGUCAACAAACUUGUUAGGUUUUAAGGUUUUUUUUAAGUGUUGCAGUUAAUGGUAAGUAUGUAAUUCAGGUGAGUUGGAGGUUUCACUGACUUUUUUUAGAAUAAUCGCUUUAGGGUGAUUCAAAAUAUUGAUAGUAAUUUACCUGAACCAACAAUGUUUCAAACAAAAGUACAUGACCUCUUUCAAAGCAGUAACAGCAUGCACAAUUGUUUUUUAAAAUCCAUGUCAGUGAGUUCUGCUGAUGAGAGAUUUUGCUUCCAUAACCUGUGUUGGCACCAAGAUUGAAUGCCAUCUGGUGUGACUUGUUCACCAUUUGAAAAGGUCUUUGUAUUUCAAUGUCUUAAACUGAAAGAUAGGGCUAAUGUCACACUGGGUUAAAAACACUUACUACAAAUAACUGGCAAUAUAAAGUCGGUCCUUUCUCUUACACUAAUGUAAUAUUUCUAAUGAUAAACAGCAUUUAGCUUUUAUUUGGUUUUCAUCUUGCAUUAAUAGUAGAUGAACCCCCACCCCGCCCCCCAAAUAAAUACCAGUGGUCUCCUUUUACUCCCAUUUCACAUUUGAGGAGGCACUGGCAAGGAGAAUGAGACAUGCCUGUUUUGUUGAUUAGAGAAGAGGAAACAAAGAUUUGGGUGAUUUUCGUUAUAAGCAUUAAUAAAGAUUGCUUGUAGGCUGCAGUGGGAUAGAUGAGGCCAGAUUGCUAAUUGUUUUCAUUGAAAGGAAGUAGAGAUACUAAAAAAUUAGAUGAUGUAUGUGUGUAUUUCAGGCAGAAGAUGGAAGUAAAGAAUUAUCCCCUCCCCCAAAAAACCCCAACUUAGUACACAAGUACUGACAUAGUCACUGAACUAGAAAUGCACGAGGGGAUUUGUCCAGAUCUGUUUCAGGGAGAGUGGGGUCCUUUUCACUGGUCUAGAUCAGUGCUGUCCAGCAGAACUUCCUGCAGUGUUGGAAAUUGCUGUCUGGUUUGGUAGCCACUAGCCACAAGUGGCUUUUGAGCACUUGAAAUGUGGACAGUGUGGCUGAGGAACUGAUGUUUUAAUUUUAUUUUGUUUUAAUUAAUUUGGAUUGAAAUGGCCAUGUGUGGCUGGGAGCUACCAAACUGGACAGUGCCAGAAUAGAGUAAGAAGAAGAAGGUGGAGUAGUACCAAACUCAGAACCAGCCUGUUCUGGUUGCACUUCCGUGUUCCUGAAACGGUUGGGUCUCGAGGAUCUUGAGUGAGUAACGGCACUGGAUAGGUGCGUGUGCCGUGUAAUAAGGUUGUUUGCAUUUUCUUGUUUUGUAACUGUUCCCUUUACCUACUCCAGUAAGAAGUCUAGAAACUACAGCUGCAGAGCUUCAGCACUAGUGGAGGAGCAAGUCCUGUUACCUCUGUUCGUCCUCUCAACCAUAAGGCUUUUUUUUUAAUUUUUAUUUUUAUUUUCCUAAGCAGUGGCGAAGGGCCUGGGGGAGAGGGAGAGAGAGAAUCUCAAGCAGGCUCCACAUCCCGUGCCAAGCCUGACUCGGGGCUCAACAUAUGACUCCUAGAUCAUGACCCGAGCCAAAACCAAGAGUCAGAUGUUUAACCAGCUGAGCCACCCCAGGCACCCCUGAUCUGUAAGGCUUUUUGAAACACAGGUGUUUGUUUCCACUUUGUCAUGUUUCACCGGAUCUCUGAUUGCUUCUGCAGCAGCUCUCCAGAGAGAAGAUUGUAGUUAGUGACUCUCAGCCCUUUGGUGUCAAGAGCUGGUAUUUACUAUACUAGGUGGUUAAUAGGUUUUAUUUUCUAGAGUUUGGGAUUUACUGCCUCUGAGGCAACCAUUGUGGUAACCCUCAUGUGAGCUUCCCUUCCUCCUCUCUAGGGGGACACGCAAAAGAAUGAAAAGACACUGUCCUUUCAUCCCAGCUUUUGUGUCACAGGAGGCAGAUAACCAGAAUUAUAUGAAGGCUUCAUAUCGAUGAGGUUGUAGCAAUUAAAAAUAGAGAUGUUGUGUACCCCAUUGAUUUGCAACCUCUGCAGAGUUUAAAUUGAGAACAAGCAAAGAAUAAAAAAAAGAAGUAGAUAAAUAGGUACACUUACAUUCUAUACCUGUAAACCCACCCCAUUCAUUGUUGAAAAUCCUGUGCCCAUAUCUAUCUGCAGUUAUGACUAUGAACUUAAAGCUAAGUUUGAAAACUCUGGCACAAACUAGAGAUUAUCUUUCUCUACAGUAAGAAGUGUGCUGUAUGUAAACAAAAGAAAUAUUGUUAUAUUGAGAAACUUGAUUAUAAGAAUCAUUGCUUUGUUUUCUUCUGGGGAUUAGCAGCAUAUUGUUUAGUGGGGUCACACUUCAGUGUCCUAAUAUCUGUUCUCCAU